AGGUAGACCCAUCUAGUUUCCAUUGAUGGAUCCCAAACAGGCUAACCACAACAAUAUUAAGCCUACUCAUGAUCAGAUAAAAGAGUUGCAGAUUUUGAAAAAUGAUGAAACGAACAAGGUGGCUGCUCCCAAAAGAAAAGAUAGGCAUACAAAAGUUGAAGGUAGAGGGAGGAGAAUACGUAUGCCGGCGCUCUGUGCAGCAAGAAUCUUCCAGCUUACGCGCGAAUUGGGUCAUAAAUCUGAUGGU
rnacentral:misc_RNA from 1 species